UACGGAGGGUGCAAGCGUUAUCCGGAAUCAUUGGGUUUAAAGGGUCCGCAGGCGGAUUUAUAAGUCAGUGGUGAAAGCCCGUCGCUCAACGACGGAACUGCCAUUGAUACUGUAAGUCUUGAAUUCGAUCGAAGUGGGCGGAAUAUGACAUGUAGCGGUGAAAUGCUUAGAUAUGUCAUAGAACACCGAUAGCGAAGGUAGCUCACUAGGUCUGGAUUGACGCUCAGGGACGAAAGCGUGGGGAGCAAACAGG
rnacentral:rRNA from 1 species